rnacentral:lncRNA from 1 species
CAUUUGCUGAGUUUCAUCUGGAGGCCAUGUUCGGAUAGUUUCUCUAAUACUUUCUUAACUAAAUCGUAGUGGGUAUCUAUUGUCCUACUACCAAUGAUGAUGUCAUCCAUAUAUACUAUUAUUUCACCCUUCUCAAUAAAUUCUUUCAAAAUUUUUGUUAUGAAUCUUUGGAAAAUGGCUGGGCCAUUUUUGAGUCCAAAUGGCAUUCUUAUGAACUCAUAUUGUCCGUUUGGGACUACAAACGAUGUAUACUUAAUCGAGUUUUCCUCCAUUUUAAUUUGAAAGAAACCUGACUUCAGAUCUAGAAGGGUAAAUAUUUUAUUACCCCCAAGAUAUUCCAAACAGUCUUCUAUCAAUGGAAGUGGGUAAUUAUCUGUCACAAUCGAUUUAUUUAAGUUUCUAUAAUCGAUGCACAUUCUGGUUUCACCUGAUUUUUUCUUCGUAAGGACGAUUGGCGAUGCAUAAGGCGAGUCACUAGGUCGGAUAAUCUUUUUCUUAAGCAAGUCGUCUAUAAUUCGAUUAACUUCAAUUUUCUCGGCAAACGAUAAACGCCUUGGUGAACAGAAGGUCGGAGUGUUUGACGUAAGUAAGAUCUUAGCUUCGUAGUCAAUAUUCGGAAGUUCUUCAAUCUGUUUUCGUACAUAAGUGUUUUUUAUCAUAGGACGGAAGUUGUUUGACCAAGCUGAAGUUCCGGGAUUACACUGGCUGUACUUAAGAUUGGAGUGGCUUUACUGGACUUACGUUUACUGUCACUAUCAUCAACGGAAAUAAGCGGAAAUUCGUUUUCUAAUUUAUAUGUAGUAUGUUUAUUUGAGUAAAGAAAUUCAUUGUUGACGUACAGACGUAUGGAAAAAGUA